AUUGAACGCUGGCGGCAGGCCUAACACAUGCAAGUCGAACGGUAACAGGAAGAAGCUUGCUUCUUUGCUGACGAGUGGCGGACGGGUGAGUAAUGUCCGGGAAACUGCCUGAUGGAGGGGGAUAACUACUGGAAACGGUAGCUAAUACCGCAUAACGUCGCAAGACCAAAGAGGGGGACCUUCGGGCCCCUUGCCAUCGGAUGUGCCCAGAUGGGAUUAGCUAGUAGGUGGGGUAACGGCUCACCUAGGCGACGAUCCCUAGCUGGUCUGAGAGGAUGACCAGCCACACUGGAACUGAGACACGGUCCAGACUCCUACGGGAGGCAGCAGUGGGGAAUAUUGCACAAUGGGCGCAAGCCUGAUGCAGCCAUGCCGCGUGUAUGAAGAAGGCCUUCGGGUUGUAAAGUACUUUCAGCGGGGAGGAAGGGAGUAAAGUUAAUACCUUUGCUCAUUGACGUUACCCGCAGAAGAAGCACCGGCUAACUCCGUG
rnacentral:rRNA from 1 species